rnacentral:rRNA from 1 species
AGACGGAGGGGGCUAGCGUUGUUCGGAAUUACUGGGCGUAAAGCGCGCGUAGGCGGUUUGCCAAGUCAGGCGUGAAAUCCCCGGGCUCAACCUGGGAACUGCGUUUGAUACUGGCAGACUAGAGGCCGGGAGAGGGUAGUGGAAUUCCCAGUGUAGAGGUGAAAUUCGUAGAUAUUGGGAAGAACACCGGUGGCGAAGGCGGCUACCUGGACCAAUAUUGACGCUGAGGUGCGAAAGCGUGGGGAGCAAACAGGAUUAGAUACCCUAGUAGUCC